rnacentral:rRNA from 1 species
AGUGAACGCUGGCGGUAGGCCUAACACAUGCAAGUCGAACGGCAGCACAGUAAGAGCUUGCUCUUACGGGUGGCGAGUGGCGGACGGGUGAGGAAUACAUCGGAAUCUACUUUUUCGUGGGGGAUAACGUGGGGAAACUUACGCUAAUACCGCAUACGACCUACGGGUGAAAGCAGGGGAUCUUCGGACCUUGCGCGAUUGAAUGAGCCGAUGUCGGAUUAGCUAGUUGGCAGGGUAAAGGCCCACCAAGGCGACGAUCCGUAGCUGGUCUGAGAGGAUGAUCAGCCACACUGGAACUGAGACACGGUCCAGACUCCUACGGGAGGCAGCAGUGGGGAAUAUUGGACAAUGGGCGCAAGCCUGAUCCAGCCAUACCGCGUGGGUGAAGAAGGCCUUCGGGUUGUAAAGCCCUUUUGUUGGGAAAGAAAAGCAGCAGGUUAAUACCCCGCUGUUCUGACGGUACCCAAAGAAUAAGCACCGGCUAACUUCGUG